rnacentral:rRNA from 1 species
GUUAAAAAGCUCGUAGUUGGAUGUUGUGGUUUGUUAAAUUCGAUGCCUUUUGGUAUUCGUUUUAGCAGCCACUUUUUCUCGAGGCAUAUAGGUGCACUUAACCGUGUGUUUAUAUUGUUCGGGACUUUUACCGUGAGAAAAUUAGAGUGUUCAUAGCAGGCUAGUGCUUGAAUAUUACAGCAUGGAAUAAUGGAAUAGGAUCAUGAUCUUAUUUUGUUGGUUUCUAAGAUCAAGAUAAUGAUUAAUAGGGAUAGUUGGGGGCAUUAAUAUUUAGUUGUCAGAGGUGAAAUUCUUAGAUUUACAAAAGAUUAACUUCUGCGAAAGCAUUUGCCAAGGAUGUUUUCGUUAAUCAAGAACGAAAGUUGAGGGAUCGAAGAUGAUCAGAUACCGUCGUAAGUCUCAACCAUAAACUAUGCCGACUAGGGAUUGGUGGUCGUUAAUUAAUGUCACCAUCAGCACCUUAUGAGAAAAUCAAAGUUUUUGGGUUCUGGGGGGAGUAUGGUC